rnacentral:rRNA from 1 species
GUGGGGAAUAUUGGGCAAUGGGCGAAAGCCUGACCCAGCAACGCCGCGUGAAGGAAGAAGGUUUUCGGAUCGUAAACUUCUAUCCUUGGUGAAGAUAAUGACGGUAGCCAAGAAGGAGGCCCCGGCUAACUACGUGCCAGCAGCCGCGGUAAUACGUAGGGGGCAAGCGUUGUCCGGAAUGAUUGGGCGUAAAGGGCGCGUAGGCGGCCUGGUAAGUCUGGAGUGAAAGUCCUGCUUUUAAGGUGGGAAUUGCUUUGGAUACUGUCGGGCUUGAGUGCAGGAGAGGUAAGUGGAAUUCCCGGUGUAGCGGUGAAAUGCGUAGAGAUCGGGAGGAACACCAGUGGCGAAGGCGACUUACUGGACUGUAACUGACGCUGAGGCGCGAAAGUGUGGGGAGCAAACAGGAUUAGAAACCCUUGUAGUCC